GGUGCCCUGGCAUUUCUUCAUGAAAGUCGGGAAGUGGCAUCAUUUAAUAACUGUCAAAACUUCAGUGUGAACUGUAAAAUAGUCCUCAUCUUCCGGUACCCCUGGAAACAGAGUUUGGAACGUUGACACCCAAUCCAUUGUUCCUGGAAGCCCAAACUUUCUUCCUGCUUAAGACCUCCUACCUUGAGUAUGGUCACGGCAGCAGAUGGAUCUGUGCCUGGGGGAUGAGCUAACCUGAUUCUGUUCCACACCUACACUUCUCGUCGUCAUUUAAAGGAUAAAUACUGGCCAGACUGGGCAGUCUCUGUCAGCAAGGAGAAAGAAUCCGGACAGUGGAGAAAAAUCAAUCUUGUAUUUAAACCAUCUGUAAUCACCGAGUUAUAUUCGUCGAUCGAUUUGAAAGACUCCAUGGCUUCGAGUACUAUUCUUUUCAAGAUGAUUACAAAGCGAGCAGCCUUAGAAAAUAACGUCUCCAGAGAAAUGAGCAGUUAUACUUCCUGCUGGCUAUCAUGGAGCGAGCCGUACGUGGCGCGGCGCUCAGCUUGCCAGUCAUGGAUGCCUUCUUUCUCACACCACUCCUGGGAAUCCUUCAACAAGACACGAAAGACAUGAACCACCAAGCAAUCAGGACGUUUAACACUUAAAAAUAAAAUUAUACUAAAGCUAGUGACUCGAGGAUGGCAAGUAAAAUACAAAGAAAAGACGACGCUUGGCCUCCCAGUCCUCUCAGAUAUGGGCAAGCGGUCACUGUCAAGACUGUGAGCUCCGCCCACCACCAAGCCUUCACCGGAUGCUGUAGGCCCCCAAAGUAAGAGUCAAAUAAAUCCUCCUUAAGUUGCUGCUACUCAGACAAUCUCAGACGUGUAUGGAUUUUCUUCAUUAAAUUUCCAAGAGGCCAAGAAAAAACACAGCGCAUUCCGAGCCAGCCAGGAGUCGAACCUGGAAUCUUCUGAUCCGUAGUCAGACGCGUUAUCCAUUGCGCCACUGGCCCUGCACACAUGUCAAGGCCUUUCCUGGCUGUCUCAAUUUAUGGAACCAUGUCCACAGCAAGCCUGUCUGCUGAGGAGCCUGGGCUCUAAGUGAACCCACCAUGUCCAGCCACAUCAGUGUUUAAGUACAUAACUGGGCAUUGCAGCUUGGCCAAGCUGACACUGAUGAACUCGUACCCUCUGUGUCUCGAUGGACUGUCCUCUGGUUUUGCUCCAAAGCAUAAGGAAAACUGCUGUCUGCCUCUUCUUUUCUUCAAUGUGAGCAGCAUGUGACACAGAGCUCUGUCCCGUCUCCACUCUCAGAUGUGAAGGAAACAGAUGCUUAUUUCUUCAAGUCCAUAGAUCAUAGAGUUCGUAGUUCAAGAAUCUUCUAAUGAAAGCAAGAGCCCUAGUACUCACCGACCUUCACUGCCCCCACCUUUGCCAUCCAAUGGCUGGCUGCCUUACAGUGUGACAAAUCCUUCAACUAUCAAGUUUAGAACUAUUGAAAUGUUGGAUUUAGCAUCAUCUCUGGGACAACAGGUCUUAUGAAACCCAACCAACUGUAGCUGCAGGUUUCAUUUGUGAAGUUACUUUCACAACCAUGACAGCAGUUUGUAAACUGUCCGUUUUCUGUUGUUUGAAUUACGCUUCAAAGAUGGGUUUAUUGGAACAGAGAACUGAGCAGGUUGGAAGCGGGCACAAAUACACAGCUCUGGGGACAAUACAGAAACGUUGCAAAUGCUCUUUCUUCGACCUUUUAUGAAAUCAGACCCUUCGGACAAAAAUAAGGCUUUCCUUCCAGAGCUGUUGAACACGGGCCUCUCCUUUAUGCCUUUCCAAAAAUGGGCUGUUGAUAUCAAGUCUUAAAAUUUUAAGACUUGUGUCUGGAAUUCUUUUCGUCAAUUUUAGAACCAAGAAGGAGGUAGGUGAAACCUAAUUUACAGAGGAGCGCGGGAAGGUGGGGGCACUUAAAGAGUGAUCAAAAUCUUAAAUUUGAAUUUAACUUAUAAAUCAUGAAAUAAAAAAAAAGCUUGCUUGCUGCAUGGACCGUUGGGGGUUGGAAGCAUAAGUGUAACACACACACACACACACACACACACACACACACACACACACGUACGUACUACGUAUACUACGUACGUUUUGAGCGC